CUCCCUCAAUCAGCGGACGACCCGCACGCCCCCCCUCUCUAUCGCUCUCCCACCACACCUGCACCUCCGCCCUCCGCCGGAAUUCCGCUCCUGCACCUCCGCCAUCAGUGCUCCGCUCCGUAUCAGCCGCCGCGCCGUCCUCUGCAUCGCAUGUCUGCCACCGAUCCCCGCCGCCGGCUCGCCCUCCACGAUCCUCCGCCUCCCCGCUGCACGAGGUCCUCCCGUCGCCAGGUCGUCGCUGCCGUUCUGCUCCACCGAUCCCCGCCGCACGAGGUGCUCCCGUCGCUAGGUAGCCACCGCGCCGUCCUCUGCAUCGCCUGUCUCCACCAAUCCCCUCUGCAUCGCAGGGGUGAGCUGCAGCUAUGGAGUUCCUCGCCGGUGGGGGAGCAGCAGGUGAAUCCCGUGAGAGGUGAGUAGUUGAACAAAACUCAUCAUGCAGUUCAUCAGCAGGUGACCAGUCCGGAACUUGGCAUCGUGGAGGUUCAUCCGGAUUCAUCAUGCAUUCUGAAACAAAACCCAUCAUCCAGCGCUUGCCGCUUUUCCUCAGAGUACAAUGAACGCGGGGUGCUCGGCGAAAUGUCCCGUCCGGCUCCUCACCUGCAAUGCAUGUGUUCUGGAGAGUGUUUAUGGAUUCUGGAUCUUAGACCCCCUCAACGACUUGGAUCAUCAGUAAAGCUUCAUCUUGAAGGUGCACAUCUGCCGUUGUUUCGUCAAAAUACUAUGCAUGAUCUUUAGGUGAUAAAAUAUUGAUUGAAUUGUCUACUGCUAUCGCUCAGAAUCCAUACUCCAUCAAUCUUACAUAUACACAUAUUUGUUGCGUCAAACACAAGCUUGCUUUCCAUACAUCCCUGAACAAUUCAGCCUCACAACUGCUCUUGACAUAUCUCAUUCAGAAUUUUUUUUCUCAAAUUAGUUGGACUGAUAGAAAAAUAUUGCUUUUCAAGAUUGUAAAAUAACCAACUGACUGGGAAGUUGAUGUCAUAUGUUGGAAGCAAUCUGCUAAAAUGUUAAAGAAGUGCAUCUAACUUUUGUACCCAGUGAAUUGCAAAUCUCUAUCUCGUUUUUUUAUUUACAGUUUCUUUGGUUUUAAAGUAAAAUAGGUUGACAUGGGAACUUUACUAGCAGAGGAAUGGGCUUAUAUUCUUGGAAAAAAUACAUUUCUCCAUGCAGAAUGUGAUCACAAUAAUGAUACUUGCUGCCAUGAUUUCUAUCACUCAUGCACGCAUUGCCCUUGAUGAUUGUAUGCAGUUGGGAUAUAUUGUCAUCAAGCAAGAAAAUCCUUGGCGAUUCUGGUUUAUAUGACUUCCUGGAAGCAGUAGGAACAACAAGAGUUACUGAACCAUAAAUUGAACUUGCCUUCUUCAUGCAUCAGAUGAACCAUAAAGGGAAUAACACUACUACCCUCUCCAAAAUUGAGCUGCUCAGGACUUCGUAGAAAUUUACAGCUUCAGGACAUGUGAUUUAUCCAUUCUCUUUUACUGUUUAUUCUAAAAUGCAAAAAAAAAGAAAUUUUGUUGUAGCUUAGAUUAAGGCAGCCUCAGCUUUGUGGUUUGCCAAGCCAUGUACUGAUAUAUGAAUGUGAUACUUUAAUUAAUGUUGAAACGCAUGAUUAUGUAUUUGAACUGAAUUGACUGAAUGUGUCCUGGAAUCGGUUUAGAACUUAAUAUAUCAAUCAGACUUUUGUUC